AUUACCAUUUCAAAAUUAUUUCUUGCUCUGACUUUUUGGACUUGUCAUUUCUAUUUUCUGUUUAUUUUAUUCAUUAAUUGCCUAAACUAUCUAAAGUAAGUAUGGAACAGCUAGCAUCAGCGAAUAUACGUGUUCCUGGUGGUGGAGACAAAGUGUAUAAGGACGAAUGCGUCUAUUGUUUUGACUCGCCGGAGUCUGAAAGUGGUCUGUAUGUUUGUUUGUCUACCUUUCUCGGCUGCUGUCUUCGGCAUGUCACCUUACACAUCAGCAAAACAAAUAAGAAUGUGUUCAUGCACUUCAAGAAGAUAAGGAAAGAGCCAACACAAGAGGAGUCUAAAGAUGCCCCACCCAAGAAAAAGCCUACAAGACUGGGAAUUGGUGUUGAGGGUGGAUUUGAUGGUGAAAGACAGAUUGAAUAUGAUGAGAUGAACUCUGUGGCGAUCUUUAGUGGUGCAGAGCCGCUUAUGAUUCCUCUUCCUUGUGCUGAGUUACCUUUGCAGGUGCAGUUAUCCCUAGCGGGUGUUCUAGCAGCAGACACAUCAGCUUACAAAGAACAAGUAGCUUCAUGGGAUGGAGAAAAACGAAAUGUAUCAAAACAUGCUGAAUCCUUAUUGCAACUGGAUAAUGGGGUACGCAUUCCACCCAGUGGCUGGAAGUGCGCCCUUUGUGACAAGACAGACAACCUCUGGCUCAACCUGACUGAUGGUUCAAUCCUCUGUGGCAGGAAAUAUUUUGAUGGAAGUGGUGGCAAUAACCAUGCGCUUGAAUCAUACAAGAACACAAAGUAUCCACUUGCUGUAAAACUUGGAACCAUCACCCCUGAUGGCGGAGAUGUGUUCUCGUAUGAUGAAGAUGAUAUGGUUGAGGAUCCCCAUCUUGCAAAGCAUCUCUCUCACUUUGGCAUCAACAUAACUCAAAUGGAAAAAACUGACAAGACAAUGGCUGAGCUUGAAAUUGACAUCAACAUGAGAGUACGGGAAUGGGAUGUCAUUCAGGAAGCUGGGAAGAAGCUAACCCCAAUGUAUGGCCCAGGUUUCACAGGUCUUCGCAACCUUGGAAACACGUGUUACAUGAACUCAGUUUUGCAAGUGCUGAUGACAUUACCUGAGUUCAAACAGAGAUAUGCAGAUUUAAGGGAUACCAUUUUAUCAAACUCACCAAGUGACCCAACACAAGACUUUGAUACACAAAUGGCAAAGAUUGCAGAUGGACUCCUCUCAGGAAGAUACUCACAAGCUCCAACCCAGGAGGAAAAGCCAGCUGAUGAUUCAUAUGACAAGUCCGAACAAGAUGGCAUCUCUCCACACAUGUUCAAGUCGUUAAUAGGGCGUGGUCACCCAGAGUUCUCCACCAAUCGGCAGCAGGAUGCACAGGAAUUCUUCGCCCAUCUACUAGAGACAAUUGACAGGGCUGAGAGAGCGAGGAAGGGGCCUUUGAAUCCUGUUGAUUCAUUCCGAUACAAGGUAGAGGAGCGGAUUGAAUGCAUGCGAUCACACAAAGUUCGUUAUACUAAUAGAGAUGAUAACCUGCUCUCACUGACUAUACCUAUGGAUGCUGUGCUCAAUAAAGAGGAAUAUGCAGAGUAUGAAGCUAAACAAAAACAAGCAGAAGAAACCAAGGAGCGGUUGGACCCUAGUGCGGUUGUGCGGCCACGGAUUUCUAUGUCAGAAUGUAUAGAGGCCUUCGCGUCCCCUGAAAUAGUGCAAGACUUCUACAGCUCGGCAGUACAGGGCAAGACUACAGCUAAAAAGACGACCAGAUUUGUAACCUUUCCGGACUAUCUCAUGGUGCAGAUGAAAAAGUUUACCAUUGGCGAGGACUGGGUCCCAAAGAAACUUGAUGUUGCAUUAGAGAUAUUGGAGGAGCUUGACCUGACGGCGCUGAGAGGGACUGGGCUCCAACCUGGAGAAGAACAGCUCCCUGAAGAGCAAGCGCAAGAGCCAGAGAUUAACGAGAGCCUAGUCCAGCAGUUGGAAGAUAUGGGAUUUGAUCUGCAGGGUUGUCGCAAAGCUGUCUAUCACACCAGGGGGGUAGGGACCACAGAGGCCGCCAUGAACUGGGUUCUAGAACAUAUGGCUGAUCCUGAUUUCACGGCGCCUCUACGGCUUGCCGGAGCAUCUAAAGGCGCCCAGGCUGCAGCUGUUAAUGAAGAGGCUGUAUCUAUGAUUAUAUCGAUGGGGUUCACUCGUGACCAAGCCAUCAAAGCCCUCAAAGCCACUGACAACAACCUAGAAAGGGCAGCGGACUGGAUAUUUAGCCAUGCGCACGAGCUGGACGCAAUGGACGUUGACAUGAAUGAGGAGACUGGUCCGCAAUACAAGGAUGGGUCGGGACGGUACCGACUGGUUGCGUUCGUCAGUCACAUGGGAACCUCCACAAUGUGCGGCCACUACGUCUGUCAUAUUCUCAAAGACGGAAGGUGACGUAAUGGUUCUACGGUCAUACCAUGCUAUUAGGAAAGCCCUCUUGGCCGCGAUUUGUUGUCCGUCCGAAAAGCGAGAGUCCAUGGGUGAUCUUCAACGACAGGAAGGUUGCUCUCUCCGAAUGUCCACCCCGGGAAUUGGGCUAUCUGUACCUGUACCAGAGAAUAUGAUAUUCUGCAUGCACCUUGCUGCCAUGUGGUUGACACGUGAAGGUCACGUUUUGACGCGUGGUAAUCACGUGGUAGUGAAAGUGGCUAUAGAUUGAUCGCUUACCUACCAAGCAUUUCUCAGAGGUUACAAAUGCAGGAAAAAAUAAAGAUUUUCAGUUGAGAA